UACGGAGGGUGCGAGCGUUAAUCGGAAUUACUGGGCGUAAAGCGCACGUAGGCUGUUGUGUAAGUCAGGGGUGAAAUCCCACGGCUCAACCGUGGAACUGCCCUUGAUACUGCAUGACUGGAAUCCGGGAGAGGGUGGCGGAAUUCCAGGUGUAGGAGUGAAAUCCGUAGAUAUCUGGAGGAACAUCAGUGGCGAAGGCGGCCACCUGGACCGGUAUUGACGCUGAGGUG
rnacentral:rRNA from 1 species